CCUACGGGAGGCAGCAGUAGGGAAUCUUCCGCAAUGGACGAAAGUCUGACGGAGCAACGCCGCGUGAGUGAAGAAGGUUUUCGGAUCGUAAAACUCUGUUGUUAGAGAAGAACAAGUGCUAGAGUAACUGUUAGCGCAUUGACGGUAUCUAAACAGAAAGCCAAGGCUAACUACGUGCCAGCAGCCGCGGUAAUACGUAGGUGGCAAGCGGUGUCCGGAUUUAUUGGGCGGAAAGCGAGUGGAGGCGGUUCCUUAAGUCUGAUGUGAAAGCCCCCGGCUCAACCGGGGAGGGUCAUUGGAUACUGGCGAACUUGAGUGCAGAAGAGGAGAGUGGAAUUCCAUGUGUAGCGGUGAAAUGCGUAGAUAUAAGGAGGAACACCAGUGGCGAAGGCGACUCUCUGGUCUGUAACUGACGCUGAGGCUCGAAAGCGUGGGUAGCAAACAGGAUUAGAUACCCGAGUAGUC
rnacentral:rRNA from 1 species